ACCAGUGACACUCUUUAGAGGAAGGCACAUUCCUGUGUGACACUCAAGGCCAUGUCUUUCUGAAGCAGGUGGCACUAGGAUGCUGAGGCACAGCCCGUUGUUGGGGGGGAGCCUGGAGACAGCCCAGGUGCCUGUCUUGCCUCCUCUCACAGACCCUACCUUUACUCUCAGCCCAGCAGAAGCAGCAGAGGCAGAGGCAAGCACGCAACAGCUGGCCACAGCCCUAGGCUGCAGUGUGCCAGGCUCAAUGGGACAGGGCCCAGGCUCCUGGGACAUCGUGGGAGGGGCUGGGUUUCCCCAGAGAAGGCUGUGGCCCUGGGUUGGAUGGGAUGUCCCUGUGGAGGACAGGAGGGGAGUCACUCCAGGUGGGGAUCUGGAGGAGAGGCCAGUGUUCCUGAAAACACACUCAGGUUGAACUCUGGGGGUCUCCUCUGGGGACAGUGACCUUCCCAGAGGGAGGGAGGCACCCCCACACAGAGGCUUUAGCAGCCCCGCCCUCGUGGCACCAAAGGCGAUGGGGUGCGUCAGGCAAGGAUGCAGAGAGAGACCCUCCUUCUCCUGCCCUAAUUCCACGUGACUUUAUGCGUGGGCAUUUUCCUUAGGUCGGAGGAAACCGGCCCUUUAACACCUUAUUGGAACAGAAUUACCUGUGUAUGCCUGUACUCUCCGUGCAUCUCCUCCGUUUCCUCCCUCACAGUGCCUGGGGACUGAUCAUGUAAAGUUGGUAACUCUGUUGCUUAACACCUGCGAAGUCCACGCCUGCCGCAGAGCAACUUCCCUGUGUACCAGUGAGCAGAUGGCUGUGAAUUCUUGUCUCGUGGGGAGGUCAGAUCAUGGCCUCCGGCAUGAUUGGCUCCUGACUUUCAGGCAACAGAUCUGUCCUCUUAGUUGUCACCACACCCAUCUCCUUUCAUCCACGCCAAGGAAGAGAGCCCUCCACUUAGCAAAGGCCUAGCCCAGUGUCCUGUAGGAGCCUUCGGUAUCCCCAGCAUCCCUGGAGAAGAGAAGCAGCCCCUGUGUGAGAGGAUCUGAAGCUCUAAGAAGUUAAGUAAUGUGCCAGCGUACACACAGCUGAUCUCCGCUGGAGCCCAAACUUGAACUCGGGUCUGCUAAGGUCAGAUGAUCUUUUCACCUCACCCACCUCAACUGCCAGGAAAAGCAUACAUGGAAGCAUUGCAUAGCAUCUACAAGAUGACAGUGCUGGCUAUUAUCACUGUGGGUUUCAGAUCACUCCUCACAAACACUCUCUGAGCUCCUGCGCCUCUUCGCUGGAACUCCAUCAGUAGCUGCACCAGCUGUUACUUGGAACCUGACCGGGAAACAGCCUCCCGGCCCAGCCCACUGAGAAUCAGCCUUCCCCCGCGGAGCCCCUCCAGACUUGCUCCCUGCUUUCCACCUCCACCAACAAAUGCUGAGUGCCAGUGACCAGCGUAGACACAGUGCUGCCUUAUUUCCCUUCUUUUGUUGGUUUUACCUGGGCUUGCUGUCACAUUAUUUACCCAAAUUGGCUACAACAACAUCUCCCUUCCCACAUCCUCUUCUUACAAAACACGUCGACGCUCCUCCCGUUGAGAGAAAUCAAUAAAAAUAUUAAAAAAGAAGAAGGAAGAGGAGAAAGAGGAAGAGGAGGAGGAGGAAGAGGAGAAGAAGAAGAACAGACAGCCACCUCCAAUUUCCCAGCUGGGUGAUGGUGCCAUCUUGAAAGUGAACCCCCAGUCCCAGUUAAGCUGACACUGAGUGAGUAAGGACAAGCUGUAGAUUCAGGAGCAGGAUAAGUGACUGUUGUUUUAAGCCUUUACAUUCUGGAGAGGUUUGUCACGCAGCAAUAGGUACCUGAUACAUCACCGAUCCUCCUACUCUCUGCGUGACCACACUUCACAGUUCCCUGCCUCUGUGCCUUUUCUCAUUCCUUUUCUUCCAUCAGCGUGUCCUCUUCCCAUUGAAAUCUUAUGGCUCCUCAAGGUCUCAUUCAAUUGGCACUCCUUCCAGGAAGCCCUCCUCAUUGUUCCAGUUGGUUGUGAUCUCUUCCCCCUCAGAACUCUUGGAAAACUUUGUUUCUACCACUUAUAUAGCACUUAUUGCCAGGAUUGAUAGCCAACAUAUUUAGCAACUGGCUAAGCCAAGUACUGACCAAUCAGAAGGGAGGCCUCCUGAGUUCGCAGCCCUGUGAUUUCCUUGCCCGGCAGCCAAGCUGGUUCCACACAGACUUAGCUCCUCUUCCAGCCUGCAAGCACCUUCAGGGCGGGGCACCUCAUCUCUCCGUCGUCCUGUCCUCCAGACCUGCUCUUGUUGGCCUUGGCAGAACCUGUGAGGUGGAAGAGCAGGCAGCUCUGAUGAAUACUCGUUAAAGAAAAAUGUCUGUGCUGAGUCCGCCGGAGAGGAGAUGUCAGAAAAGACAUUAGUCUUUGUCUGUAUCUGUCAUUCGAAGAAGGAACCAAUUUCAAAAUCAUAUCUCACACUUUCUCCUCCCCUGAGUCACGGAGCAAGCUUACCAUUCCUGUGUUCACUCACUGAACACAGACUGAGCCCUACCGUGCCCGGGGGCUGGGAUUCGGAGAAGAAAUGCUGUCCAUGGAGCCACUGCACACGUCAGGGAACGGGGACAGCGGAGGGGAUCUAGGGAGACUCCGAGAUUGAGACAAAUCAAUUCACCAACUCAAUGGAACACCAACUUCUUUUUAACUUUGCUGAUAAACAUUUACCAUGGUGGCAAUGCUCUCAUUUUAGAAGCACACAGCAAUUCUCCUCUAGUGGAUCCCUAAUUACCCAGGUGUGGCUGAGGACAGCCGGAUGCCGAUGUGGGCGAUGGUGGCACCGGCAUCAUCAGGCUGCCUUUGCUGGUCCUCAGGUUGUGUGGACGGAUAGCUGUGCUCGGGGCUGUGAUGCUCAGAGUUUCCACUUCACCGUUUUUCAGCUCCCUGGAGCUCCACGCAGUCCCCAGUGUCUUGAGAUGACCAGCGGGGCAGAGGGGAUGGAUUUGCACGCCAAGAAGCAAAGUUGUACAACACCCUUUAGUUUGUCUCGCCCAAGAGCCACAUGAGGCACUUGAACACUUGAAAUAUUGUUAGUCUGAAUUGAGAUGUGCUGUAUGUAUAAAAUACACAAUGGAUUUUGGAGACCAAGUUUAAAAAAAAGAAUGCAAACAUCUCUCUGAAGUUUUGUUACGGAUUACAUGUUGAAAUAUUAUUUUUGGACAUACUGGGUUCAAUAACAUAUUAAAAUUAACUCCAUC